UUGAUAACCUCAGUGAAAUACUCACAAAGGCUGCUCUGUUGGUGAUGCUGUUUUUUUGCCCAUGAACAUUGCUUUUGUUGAUGAUAGGUAUAACAUGCGUGAAAUGUUCAAACAAGGAAAUUAGAUUGAAUGAAUGUUAACAACUUUGCCAGAAUACAGGAACCUGGAGAAGGGGUGCCACUGCUCUUGACGUGAUAACAUAUCUGAAACUAAACAUUUCCUGGUAAAAAACUGUAAAUAUACACAACCAAGACUGGAAUUCUGUAGUUCUCACUUCGAGGUCCCAAUAAAGCUAAUUUGGACAUCCUACGUAUCCAGCUUUCCUCACAGGCUAUCAUGGAAAUCAAAGCAGUUCUAAUGAUGAUCAUUUCACUCAUAUGUCUUAUUAGACCAAUCCAAUCCAAUGUGAGUAAAUGGCAAGUUAUAUUCUUCCUGGUAUGCAGUAAUUGUAUUAAGACUUGUGCGAAAGUCAAGUAACAUGUCAUAAGAUAGCAUAAGUCAGAAGUAUACUAUCGUUAAUGUAAAAAAAACAAAAAACAUUCCUUAUCAUUUUCAAACUAGGGUGGAAACAUUGUGGACGUAACCAAGCCAAUGACAGUGCAUUUCUAUGCUGCACACCCAUAUGAAAUCAAGGGACGCAUCAACAUCAUCCGCUUCAGUGAUGUCAUCCUGAAUGAGGGAUUUGCGUUCAGUGGGAAAACGGGCAUCUUCACAGCACCAGUCAAUGGAAUCUACCAAUUUUUCUACUCAUUCCAUAGUCACAGAGGUAAUGCAAACAAUCAUUGGCAUCUGCGGGUCAAUGGUGUUGUUAAAGCUUUGUGCCAUUCGCAAGUUCGCUCAGGAUCCACUGUUGGUAGCAUGUGCACCUACAUGACUGAGUUAGCAAAGAACGAUGCACAAAAUUUGUGAUAACCAAAAAAAUUGUCAGACAGUUAGUUUACAGUUAAAUGUGUGUCUGUAGGGGUGUGUUGAUUCAUAUUAAUCUAGAUGGAAUAUAAGAAUUUUUUACAUGUCUUGCAAA